AGAACGAACGCUGGCGGCAUGCCUAAUACAUGCAAGUCGAACGAACACUUCGGUGUUAGUGGCGCACGGGUGCGUAACGCGUGGGAAUCUGCCCUUGGGUUCGGAAUAACAGUUGGAAACGACUGCUAAUACCGGAUGAUAUCGAAAGAUCAAAGAUUUAUCGCCCAGGGAUGAGCCCGCGUAGGAUUAGCUAGUUGGUGAGGUAAAGGCUCACCAAGGCGACGAUCCUUAGCUGGUCUGAGAGGAUGAUCAGCCACACUGGGACUGAGACACGGCCCAGACUCCUACGGGAGGCAGCAGUAGGGAAUAUUGGACAAUGGGCGCAAGCCUGAUCCAGCAAUGCCGCGUGAGUGAUGAAGGCCUUAGGGUUGUAAAGCUCUUUUACCCGAGAUGAUAAUGAACAGUAUCGGAAGAAGUAAGCCCCGGCUAACUCCGUGCCAGCAGCCGAC
rnacentral:rRNA from 1 species